UACGUAGGGACCAAGCGUUGUUCGGAUUUACUGGGCGUAAAGGGCGCGUAGGCGGCAAUUCAAGUCAGUUGUGAAAUCUCCGAGCUUAACUCGGAACGGUCAACUGAUACUGUUUUGCUAGAGUGCAGAAAGGGCAACCGGAAUUCUUGGUGUAGCGGUGAAAUGCGUAGAUAUCAAGAGGAACACCUGAGGCGAAGGCGGGUUGCUAGGCUGACACUGACGCUGAGGCGCGAAAGCUGGGGUAGCAAACGGG
rnacentral:rRNA from 1 species